rnacentral:rRNA from 1 species
AUGGCCUUGUUUAAGCUACCAAGGGGUUUAUGCCAACACAGAACCUCACUUGUUUGGAAAUUUUGGUGGGGAAGCAAAGCGGGCGAGCGGAAGACUGCCUGGGUAGCAUGGGAUGACAUGACGAUGCCUAAGUACAAGGGAGGUCUUGGAUUCCGAGACACGGAGAUCUUCAAUCUUGCACUUCUCGCACGACAGGCAUGGCGCUUGAUUCAAGACCCAAACACGUUGAGUGCACGCAUCCUCAAGGCAAUGAAUUUUCCAGACGGGGAUGUUUUAUCAGCAGAUGUGGGCGUAAACCCAUCUCAGAUUUGGCGCUCGAUCUGUGAAGGACCGGACAUGCUGAAGAUGGGAUUGAUCAAGCGAAUAGGAGAUGGGACAAGUACAAAUAUGUGGAAUGAGAAUUGGCUCCCACGUGAUUACAACAUGAGGCCAAUCUGUUGUACGGCAGCGGACCCGCCGGAGUCUGUUUCUGAACUGAUGUGCACGGCCACCAGGACGUGGAACCUGCAAGCUUUGCAUGCCAACUUCCUGCCAAAAGACAUAGAGGUGAUCCGACAGAUUCCAAUAUCGCAUGUUCCUCAGCAGGAUUUUUGGGCAUGGAACUAUGAAAAAUCUGGAGCUUUCACUAUUCGUUCCGUGUACAGACUUUUUAUCGAGACAAAGAAAAGGCGAGAGGCAUGGUUAAAAGGGGAAACAGAAGCUUCAGAUAAAAAAGCAAGAGGAGAAUAA